rnacentral:rRNA from 1 species
GACGAACGCUGGCGGCGUGCCUAAUACAUGCAAGUAGAACGCUGAAGAGAGGAGCUUACUCUUCUUGGAUGAGUUGCGAACGGGUGAGUAACGCGUAGGUAACCUGCCUUGUAGCGGGGGAUAACUAUUGGAGACGAUAGCUAAUACCGCAUAACAAUGGAUGACACAUGUCAUUUAUUUGAAAGGGGCAAUUGCUCCACUACAAGAUGGACCUGCGUUGUAUUAGCUAGUAGGUGAGGUAAUGGCUCACCUAGGCGACGAUACAUAGCCGACCUGAGAGGGUGAGCGGCCACACUGGGACUGAGACACGGCCCAGACUCCUACGGGAGGCAGCAGUAGGGAAUCUUCGGCAAUGGGGGCAACCCUGACCGAGCAACGCCGCGUGAGUGAAGAAGGUUUUCGGAUCGUAAAGCUCUGUUGUAAGUCAAGAACGGGUGUGAGAGUGGAAAGUUCACACUGUGACGGUAGCUUACCAGAAAGGGACGGCUAACUACGUG